CAUAGUGUGUAGCCUGCAAAGUAUGUCUGGCUCGCAACCACAGAAUGAAGAGGCACAUGUGUUUGUGUUUUUGUGCUCUCGUUUCAAAUGAUAUUGCCAUUAUAUGUACAUGCCAGUGAACUGCGAGGAGUCAGCAAUGGCUGUGCCCAGCACAGUGAAGCGAGAGAGCUACCGAUCGAGCCCAAGAAAAUUGACCAGACCUCUUCCAAUUCCGACCAUGUCAAUUGCUGUGCGGAGAAAAUUAGCACCUGCGCGUGAUACACCUAAUUGGGAUGGAACACACCCGAUUCCUGUCAGUCCGGGAGCACAUAACUAAGCAAGACAGAGACCAGGCAACUGAUUAGGUCAUCGUAGUUGAAGGUGGUGUACUGUAAUCAGACAUGUACUACAUUAGUUUAGUGUGUGUGCAAUAAUAUAAGAAAUUUGUGCAAUAUGUCAUGCUUAUAUAUGGCAAUGCAGCGAAAGCCAUACAUUGUUCUCAUUCUCA